GUAGGUGGCAAGCGUUGUCCGGAAUUAUUGGGCGUAAAGCGCGCGCAGGUGGUUCUUUAAGUCUGAUGUGAAAGACCCCCGGGCUCAACCGGGGAGGGUCAUUGGAAACUGGGGAACUUGAGUGCAGGAGAGGAAAGUGGAAUUCCACGUGUAGCGGUGAAAUGCGUAGAUAUGUGGAGGAACACCAGUGGCGAAGGCGACUUUCUGGCCUGUAACUGACACUGAGGCGCGAAAGCGUGGGGAGCAGACAGGAUUAGAUACCCUGGUAGUCCACGCCGUAAACGAUGAGUGCUAAGUGUUGGGGGGUUUCCGCCCCUCAGUGCUGCAGCUAACGCAUUAAGCACUCCGCCUGGGGAGUACGGUCGCAAGACUG
rnacentral:rRNA from 1 species